CCAAUAAGAAGAAGACAAGUCAUUAAAAAACUGAUGACAUAAGUUUAUUGUCCUUCGCGUUUUCUUCCCCUGCAAUCCCUUGGCUCCGCAUCGUAGAUAAUAGACAAAUGCUUUGAUGAGAAAUCCAUUUUCCAAAUGUUCUAGAUCUGAGAGAAGAAGUUCAGACUUUAGAGAAGCAAAAUGAGCAGAGGUGGAGAGAAAGGUCUCAAAACUACAAAAAUCCAGAAGGAAAUUUCAAUGGAUAGCUGAAAAAUAUGUCUGAUGAUGCUUUCAUUUGUGGAAAGAAUUAUACUUUCUACAUUGAAGCCUUGCUGCCUAGCUUUCUUUUUGGAGUCCUUUGUUUUACUUUUUGGUUUUUAUCUACCAAAGUGAAUUUGUUUUUAGACAGCUUAGUUUGAAAGAAACUACUCUUUGUACUAACAGGCUUAUUCAAAUUUUACUUGGAGCCCAUGGAAAGUUAUGGUGUCAACAAAAAACUGUCAUGAUACUAUCUAUUAUAUUUAUUCUCUUUGUAAUCA